rnacentral:rRNA from 1 species
GCACGGGUGAGUAACACGUGGAUCAUCUACCUCUUAGUGGGGAAUAACCCUGGGAAACCGGGGCUAAUACCGCAUAAGCCUGUGAAGGGAAAGCAGCAAUGCGCUGAGAGAGGAGUCCGCGGCGAUUAGCUAGUUGGUAGGGUAAAGGCCUACCAAGGCAAUGAUCGGUAGCCGGCCUGAGAGGGCACACGGCCACACUGGCACUGAAACACGGGCCAGACUCCUACGGGAGGCAGCAGUGGGGAAUCUUGCACAAUGGAGGAAACUCUGAUGCAGCGACGCCGCGUGAGCGAUGAAGCCCUUCGGGGUGUAAAGCUCUUUCGACGGGAACGAUAAUGACGGUACCCGGAGAAGAAGCUGCGGCUAACUACGUGCCAGCAGCCGCGGUAAUACGUAGGCAGCAAGCGUUGUUCGGAAUUACUGGGCGUAAAGAGUGUGUAGGCGGUUCUCUAUGUUCGGUGUGAAAUCUCCCGGCUUAACUGGGAGGGUGCGCCGAAAGCUGGAGGGCUUGAGUAUGGGAGAGGAAAGCGGAAUUCCUGGUGUAGCGGUGAAAUGCGUAGAUAUCAGGAGGAACACCUGGCGGUG